CAGAGUUGCAAGACUCCCUAAGCCAUUGUGAACCUACCUUCUACCGUUGCUUCGGCGGGCGGGCCCAGCGCCCCCCCCGGCCCCCCGCGGGCGCCCGCCGGAGGAUACCCAAACUCUUGACAUUAGUGGCCUCUCUGAGUAUUCUUUACUGAAUAAGUCA
rnacentral:misc_RNA from 1 species